rnacentral:lncRNA from 1 species
UGCUGGCUCUAUUUGAGAGAAGUGUCUGCUAGCUCUAUAGUUUGGUGCUCCCUUCCACCACAUUUUUGCAAGACCAAUAAAUUUUUAGGAGGAUUGUUGAUUGUCCAAUUUAUAAUAGGUGAUGAGAGAUAUCAUAGAUGAAUGCAUGGAGGAAAUCAAGCAAUCGGGAGGCAUCGGCUGCUAUGAUAAGGCGGCUGAGGAAGUAUGUGUUCCCGCCGAACCAAUUAGUAACCUUGAGGUUUCUAUGGAUAUUGGUGUGCAUGCGCAAAUAAAUGGCAAAUCCUCUAAAAAGACAACAGUAACUACUGAUCAUCACCAGAGACAAUCCUACUCUCGGCAUGACAAAAGAUCUGCAACCUCUGAGGAUACUCUGUACAAAGAUAAUGAGCGACUAGGACAAGACCAUCACUACUAUCGUACGGAACCUAGGAACAUUGAGGGUCAUGGGAGACGCGUCAGAGACCACUAUACCAAGAGUCCAGAAAGGCAGGGAAAGCAUGUCCAGUCACAUGAGUGGAACAGUCGUAGAACAGAACGGAAUUCUGUGGAGUUGAUCUGAAUUUCAGGGCCUCUUGUAGCACCCAUGCUCUAAAUCUAAUUUUUUUUAUGUAAUUAGCAUGUUUAUUUUUAUAAUAAUAAUCAUUUUUUUCAUUGCGGGUGCUCAAAUAAAACGAUAAAUGACUAGCUAUAAAGUGUAUUCUAUUCUCAUGAUAAUCGAGCUUCCGAUCUUAAGAGACAAGGUGCCGAUCGAUCACUUGUUAAGAGACAAGGUGCUGUAAAUCUAAUGGUGUGCCUUAGAAGGCUAAGAAGCGGCCUCAUACAGCCCAGUCCAACUGAUUCGACUUGUAUGGAGGCCCAAUUAGCUCUGGUUCAGUCGGUCGUGAAUCCACUCACAAUUUCCCAGCAUCAGCAUUUUGGAUCGGGCUUUUCUUUCUAAACCCGAAUCCACCCACCAUGACCGUCAGUUCAUGCUUUCGGCGGCAAUUAAAAUCGAAGAUAUAUGCUCGCCGGUGGCUUAGCGCCGAUGCAAAGCCGAUUACAAAGCUUCAACCGAUCUGUUUUCCGUCCAUAGUCAAGAACUUUCGUCAUCGUCUCUCACUGAGCAUAUCCGAUGAACCCUUCUUCAGCUCCACUUCCCUAUCAUUCCCCAUUCCCUUAUCCCCCUCCUCCAAACCCUAACCCCUCCCCUAACAUCUUCGUCCAUCCUCUCCGACCGCCGCCGCAGCAACAACCUCAUCCGCCUCCUUACCAACUCCCACCUCCUCCGCAGCAACAACAACAACAAUCACCACAUUUCACCGCAGCUCCUCUAGUUCGUGAUGUCUCCUCUACGCUCUCCUCCCUAACUGAGCUCAUAUCGCUCUCGCGGCCAACUCUCAGCUCACUCUCUUCCCUUAUCGAUUCAAAACCUUCUCCCGUGAAUUUGAAUGAUAAACAUGUGCCUUGCCCUUACAAUCCUCACCAUCUUAUGCCGCCGGAGUCUCUAUUCAUUCACACGCUUCGCUGCCCUUCUCCGGUAUGUGAGGAUCCUACUUCUAUUAUUCAAUCUCUUCACUACCUUAAGACUUUGGACUUGCAGUUCCAAGCUAGAACUCAAUUUGACGAAUCGUCCGAGGAACGGAAGAAUGGUGAACUCAGCCUAUCAUUGGAUAGUUAUUUCAAGGAGUUCGAGUCCAACUUCUUUUACAAAGAUUGUCCAGGUGCUGUUAACUUCAUCGAGUUGGAGAAUUUAGGGAAAUUUGUUACUUUACCAAGCGUUUUAUCGGUGGAAUGUGCCGAUUCUUUUGGUUUUAGAGAGAGAAGGCCUGAUGGGUUUGACGGAAAUAAGUUCGGAAUUCUCUCAUCUGAAUUAUGGACUAUUACGAGAGAGGUUGAGGGUUGGGUUGAUUAUCCUACGCAGUACUCGUAUGGAGUAGUUUGUGGUGUUCUGAGGUUGAAUGUGGUUAAGCUGAAUAAAUUGAGGGGUUGGAUUAUCACGAAUUCUCCUCGUUUCGGUUGUGUUAUUGAUGCUUACAUGAGAGACCAUAUCUCAGUGCUUGUUGGUCUAUGCCUGAAAGCAAUUAGAAGGGAAGCUUUGGCCUUCGUGGGUUGUGAUACGACCAUUGAGAAUUUGAGUUUUCCAUGUCCUGUAUCUGUUGAAGCUUUAAAGUGGCUUGCAUCUCAGCUCUCUAUGUUAUUUGGGGAGCUGAGUGCAAAAAGAUUCACUAUUAACACUUUUAAGCAAUGCAUACUGGAUGCUGCUAAAGAGGCAUUGUUGUUCUGUUUGAGGCCUGACUUCAAAGAAAGCUCCAAAGGGUUGGAUGACAAUAAAAGUGAGACCAAGGAUGGUAAGACUGAAGAGAGCACCCUUGAAGAAUGUACAGAGCACGACAAAGAUAAGAAAGCUGAGGCAGAUGGUGUUGUUGUGUCUCAAGUAGCAGCUGCAGUGGCAGCAUUGCAAGAGCGUUCUUUACUAGAGGCUAAAAUUAAAGCUCUACGGAAUUCUCGAUUACUACCAUCUUACCAACGGUAUGGUGUUAGUCUGCUUCUACCGCAAUAUCUGCAUAAUCUAAGUUAAAUUUGUUACCUUAGAAGCUCAAGUUUCUCGAACCUUCAUUUUAUAUAUCAUAUGGGACUUGAAUAGUUUUGGAAGGCUAGAGUCUUGCCGUUGGCUAUUUAAGACAAAAUCUACCUAUUGUGUUCAUAUUGAUGGAAUGCUGAUUGAUUGGAAUUAUUGAUGUUACACGUCUGUGGUAUUAGUAGGACUUACGCAUGUCCCUCAAAGUAACAUGCUUCACUUUCGUACACUUCACUUGGGAAGAUUGACAUUUCAGUUUUCCUCAUAUGUGAUUGCAUUGUCUCGAUACGGUGGAAGUGUCGCUGAGUUGUAUCCCUCUAUCAUUUUAGGGCAGUUGAGCAUACUUAUUUGACAACUAGAGCUGAUGAAGAACGGAAAAAGCAUGCGGACUACCGGCCCACUAUUGAGCAUGAUGGCUUCCGCAAGCGAUCAACAAACCAGGUACUCCAUUAGAACAAUGGGCAAUCGCUUUUAGGCAUUGUUUGUAGUUGACGGCCUACGGAAUGAGAUUCAUGAACCUUGAAACAAGGGUUUCAUAAUGCAUUAUGUAAGACCACCUUGAGCGAGUUCCUUAACUAUUUGUCUCACUGUUCGGGCCAGCUUUAAGGUCCAAGAUAUUUCUUCCUAAGAUAGUAUUAUUUUGUAUGCUACCUAGGCAAUGGUUUCGAGCUCUGCACUUUGGCUACUAUUUUUCAUAAUCUUCAACUUUUCUUCUUUUUUGGAAUAAGGAAACAAGCAGGCCAAAGACGAAGGAGGAAUUGUUAGCUGAGGAAAGAGAUUACAAACGUCGGAGGAUGUAAUAUCGUGGGAAAAAGUUAAAAAGAACAACUCUGCAGGUAUCAAAUUGUUUCUGGGUAACAUUAUGUAACACUUUCAAUAUCUGAUGGAUGAACCUAGUAACAAUGCCUUUCCUGCUGGCUCUAUUUGAGAGAAGUGUCUGCUAGCUCUAUAGUUUGGUGCUCCCUUCCACCACAUUUUUGCAAGACCAAUAAAUUUUUAGGAGGAUUGUUGAUUGUCCAAUUUAUAAUAGGUGAUGAGAGAUAUCAUAGAUGAAUGCAUGGAGGAAAUCAAGCAAUCGGGAGGCAUCGGCUGCUAUGAUAAGGCGGCUGAGGAAGUAUGUGUUCCCGCCGAACCAAUUAGUAACCUUGAGGUUUCUAUGGAUAUUGGUGAGCAUGCGCAAAUAAAUGGCAAAUCCUCUAAAGAGACAACAGUAACUACUGAUCAUCACCAGAGACAAUCCUACUCUCGGCAUGACAAAAGAUCUGCAACCUCUGAGGAUACUCUGUACAAAGAUAAUGAGCGACUAGGACAAGACCAUCACUACUAUCGUACGGAACCUAGGAACAUUGAGGGUCAUGGGAGACGCGUCAGAGACCACUAUACCAAGAGUCCAGAAAGGCAGGGAAAGCAUGUCCAGUCACAUGAGUGGAACAGUCGUAGAACAGAACGGAAUUCUGUGGAGUUGAUAGGAGUCAAGCAUCA